UCGGAAUAGUUUAGUAGGGUAGAACAGCGGGAUCAUAAUUCGCACACGGGGCCCUCUUCCGAUA
rnacentral:tRNA from 1 species